ensembl:lncRNA
CCUCCAGAUCCCUUUCCCAUCAGAUCUGAAUACCGAUCUUGUGGUCGAAAAAGGAGGAAAAGCAGCAUUCAGACUGGCCUUGGCCUCUUUGCUGGCACAGCCCUGCUCUGAGCGGGGCCGGUUUGAAGACAGUCAGUGUUUGCUUUGCUGCAUUGGGGAUGGCAGUAAAACAGAGCCAUGCGGAACUGCACGCUUAGUGGGAGAGGCUGAGAGCUUCUGAGACCCCGUGGAGGGUUUUGGUUUGCUUUGCUUAAGGCUGAAAUUGUGGAGAAACUGAAGUGGAGUGUGUCAGUGUCCCCUGUUUAAAUGGAAUACAGACCCGAGUGUCUUCAAUCCUAAAGAAGCGGUGGUCUGCACAACCACAUGGUGGCUGCUCUGUGAGUUGGGAGCUCCCCCAGGUGGGAGAGCUGCAGUGGUGCAGCAGUCACUGAGUGCUGUUGGCCAGGGGAGCCUCUGAGGGACACUGCCAGAGCUCCCAUUCAGGUGCUCAGUGAGGAAUAAUGUUCCCUGCUACAGAGUUCUGCCAAAAGAAGAGCUUUCAGGAAUGUCUGGGUAGGAAAUAUUUGGAGUCCAGUACCCAGGUCUGGGGCCUCCAGCACAGAGAGAUGUGCAGCAGAGCCAGAGUGAGUUGGAGAGGCAGCUGAACACGGGGCUGGGUGAUGGCUGCCCUCACUGCAUCAGUGUGUCAGCACACAGUGCUGAGGUUUGGGCACAGCAGAUAUGCCAAUGAGUCCUACAGCUCAUUCUCACCUCUUCAUCUGUUUGGAUGUGUAGCUCCAGGUACACAGUUUCUUAAAGUUUUACUGUUAAGACUUUUCCAUUACAGUAUGUAAGUAAUUUUAUUAUAAAAUAAUGGUAAAAUAUAUUUUACAAAAUG